rnacentral:rRNA from 1 species
CCUACGGGAGGCAGCAGUGGGGAAUAUUGGACAAUGGGGGGAACCCUGAUCCAGCCAUGCCGCGUGUGUGAAGAAGGCCCUCGGGUUGUAAAGCACUUUCAGUGAGGAAGAACGCCUGGUGGUUAAUACCCAUCAGGAAAGACAUCACUCACAGAAGAAGCACCGGCUAACUCCGUGCCAGCAGCCGCGGUAAUACGGAGGGUGCGAGCGUUAAUCGGAAUUACUGGGCGUAAAGCGCGCGUAGGUGGCUUGAUAAGCCGGUUGUGAAAGCCCGGGGCUCAACCUGGGAACGGCAUCCGGAACUGUCAAGCUAGAGUGCAGGAGAGGAAGGUAGAAUUCCCGGUGUAGCGGUGAAAUGCGUAGAGAUCGGGAGGAAUACCAGUGGCGAAGGCGGCCUUCUGGACUGACACUGACACUGAGGUGCGAAAGCGUGGGUAGCAAACAGGAUUAGAUACCCUUGUAGUC